rnacentral:rRNA from 1 species
GACGUAGGGCGCGAGCGUUGUCCGGAUUUAUUGGGCGUAAAGAGCGUGUAGGCGGCUUUACAGGUCCGUUGUGAAAACUCGAGGCUCAACCUCGAGACGCCGGUGGAAACCGUAAAGCUAGAGUCCGGAAGAGGAGAGUGGAAUUCCUGGUGUAGCGGUGAAAUGCGCAGAUAUCAGGAGGAACACCGGUGGCGAAGGCGGGUCUCUGGGCCGAUACUGACGCUGAGGAGCGAAAGCGUGGGGAGCGAACAGG